UUUUAUGAGAGUUUGAUCCUGGCUCAGGACGAACGCUGGCGGCGUGCCUAAUACAUGCAAGUCGAACGCUUCUUUUUCCACCGGAGCUUGCUCCACCGGAAAAAGAGGAGUGGCGAACGGGUGAGUAACACGUGGGUAACCUGCCCAUCAGAAGGGGAUAACACUUGGAAACAGGUGCUAAUACCGUAUAACAAUCAAAACCGCAUGGUUUUGAUUUGAAAGGCGCUUUC
rnacentral:rRNA from 2 species